CUCAAAUCUCUCUACCUCAUAUCUGGAAAACAAAAGUGCCCUGCUUUGGACUGAAUUCUUGGACUAUCAGGUGGAGGACAUAAAGAGACCUUGAAAAGGAAAUACUCUAGUUCUUGUAAAUAAAGGAACAUCAGAGACCUGGGUGGGAGAGAGUAAGAGAAAGAACACAGAGUAAAAAAUAAAGUAUAACCACAACUUUUGGAAAUAAGGAGAAGAAUUUGGGAGCUUGAUCAUGUUUUUGCUUUUGUUGUUUUCCCAUUCUGCUUCACCUUCCACCAAGCCUACUUCCCCAAUGCCAUGGCAGAAGAUCAAUGACAACAACUCUUAAUCUUUUCUGACUGGCUUCACUAUCCUGAAUGGUGUCAAAGAACUGGUUCUUCCCUGCACUGAAAUUGGAAUCUAUUACGAUGGUCUGCUGUAUACUGAAUCAUUGGCCCCAAUUUUUUGUCCUUCCCUGUAUGCACACCCUUUGCCAAGUGACUUUGCAGUUCCUCCCACAAAAACAGAGUGUAUUUCUUCUCGCCUUGACUUUGGACUUGACCACAUGACUAACUUUGGCAUGUUAGCAGAUGUGAUGCAAAGGAGGGCUUGGAGAGUAUUUGUGCAGUGGUGCUUGCCCUCUUGCACUCUGCCACUGCCAUAAGAAUCCUCCACUCUGGGUAGCAACUCCUUCCAUUCUGGGUCCUAGAAUGAAAACACCCCAGCACAGAUCUAAACUGGCCAGACCCAUAUUUUGAACAGAGCCAUUCAGUUGAAC
rnacentral:lncRNA from 10 species